rnacentral:rRNA from 1 species
CCAAUAGCGUAUAUUAAAGUUGUUGCAGUUAAAAAGCUCGUAGUUGAAUUUCGGGGUCAGCAGGUUGGUCGUGCCUCUGGUACGCACUGGUUUCGCUGAUUCCUCCUUUCUGGAGAACUGUAAUGUCAUUAAUUUGGUGUUUCAGGGAAACAGGACGGUUACUUUGAAAAAAUUAGAGUGUUUAAAGCAAGCUAAUGCUUGAAUACAUUAGCAUGGAAUAAUGAAAUAGGACUUUUGAUCCUAUUUUGUUGGUUUCUAGGAUUGACGUAAUGAUUAAUAGGGAUAGUUGGGGGCAUUAGUAUUCAAUUGUCAGAGGUGAAAUUCUUGGAUUUAUUGAAGACUAACUACUGCGAAAGCAUUUGCCAAGGAUGUUUUCAUUAAUCAAGAACGAAAGUUAGGGGAUCGAAGACGAUCAGAUACCGUCGUAGUCUUAACCAUAAACUAUGCCGACUAGGGAUCGGAUGAUGUUAAUUUUUUAAUGACUCAUUCGGCGCCUUACG